rnacentral:rRNA from 1 species
UACGUAGGGUGCGAGCGUUAAUCGGAAUUACUGGGCGUAAAGCGUGCGCAGGCGGUUCGUUGUGUCUGUGGUGAAAGCCCCGGGCUUAACCUGGGAAUGGCCAUGGAAACUGGCGAGCUGGAGUGUGGCAGAGGGGGGUGGAAGUUCCGCGUGUAGCAGUGAAAUGCGUAGAGAUGCGGCGGAACACCGAUGGCGAAGGCAGCCCCCUGGGCUGAGAUUGACGCUCAGGCACGAAAGCGUGGGGAGCAAACAGG